rnacentral:rRNA from 1 species
UGCCAGCAGCCGCGGUAAUACGGAAGGGGCAAGCGUUAUCCGGCAUGACUGGGCGUAAAGAGUCCGUAGACUGUAAAGUAAGUUUUUUGUUAAAUUUUAAAACUUAAUUUUAACACAGCAAUUAAUACUGCUUUACUUUGAGUUUAAUACAGAAAAGUGGAAUUUUAUACGAUAGGGGUGAAAUCCGUAGAUAUAUAAAGGAAUGCCAACAGCGAAGGCAACUUUUUGGUAUAAACUGACGUUGAGGGACGAAAGUGUGGGUAGCAAACAGGAUUAGAUA